UCUUCCUCUUCUCCUCCUUUCUCUUUUCUUCAUCCUUCCCAGACCUUGUUUUUUUUUUUAAAGUUGGUAUUUGGGUUUGGCGAUGACGCUUGGGACGUCGAUGCUACAUGCCCACCUCUCUCUCUUUGCUUUAUGGAUGUGAAUAGUAGGAUUAUAAUAUUGGGUUUGUGUUUUGGUGGGGAAGGCAAGGAAGUUGGGGGUUUGGUUUUCUUUUGCUGAAGGAGAUAAUUGGUGGGUAAUCUGGGUGUUGAAUUUUAUGUGGCUGUAGAGAUGAUAAACUGUGGAGCUAAGGUUGGGGUUUUUUUUAGUUGGAGGGAAAGAAGAUAUUCUGGGUCUGUAAAAUAGGGAGGUGGGUUGGUGAGGUUUUGGGUUGAGAUGGUAGCUUUGAC